rnacentral:rRNA from 1 species
CCCCUAGAUGUCCUGGGCCGCACGCGCAAUACAAUGUAAAGUUCAGAAAGCAUAUCCUGUUCCGGAAGGCAAUGGGUAAUCUUUUCAAUAUUUUACGUGUUAGGGAUCGAUCUUUGCAAUUAUAGAUCUUGAACGAGGAAUACCUAGUAAGUGCAGCUCAUCAGGCUGUACUGAUUACGUCCCUGCCCUUUGUACACACCGCCCGUCGCUCCUACCGAUUUCGAGUGGUCCGGUGGAUCUUUUGGAAUUAGAGUGCAAACUCAAACUAAGAUCGAUAAACCUUAUCACUUAGAGGAAGGAGAAGUCGUAACA